rnacentral:lncRNA from 10 species
UCUCAACAAUGUAAGCUACAACACCUCUCUGGUAUACAGCUACCAUGGAUGUCAGGUACAAGUGAAAACCAAGUAAAAAAAUAUGACCAGCGUGAGUCAGAGUUUUUAACAAGCCAAGCCACCCCCUUGGUGUUCGGCACUGGAAUGCUUUCCUUAUACAUAACAUCCAGCCACAAUCAGAGCCAGGCUUGGAGACUCUGAGUUCCACAGGGAGAGACAGCUGCAGUCAGGCUGCGAUCCUGGAGAGCCGAGUGGCUCCUGCGUGUGUGGGCAACCCCUUCUUGGAGAAAACCUGUUAAUAUCCUCUGCUCACAGACAUGACUUCAUGCACCAAGCACACAGUCUCUCCAGUUUUCCAAGGGCUGAGGGGCUCGCUCCCUACUCUGUAACUCUAGAAAGAAGACCCCUGGGGUGUCUGCCCACUCCAGAGAGGGACUGUAACAGGAAGUCAGAUGGGCAGGUUGCUGGAAUUUGGAAGACACGGGGGCUUCUCCCAAGAGUGCCCUGAAAGAGACUAGCGUGGACAAGGUCUAGGCAACACGGAGCAACCCAAGCCCUCCUCUGCCAGCGUCACUCCUGCCAGGUCCUCUCUUCUACCCUUAGCAACCAGUGGACACAGAGACUUUGGAAGGGCCUCCAGGCCUUGGCCUGGAUGCAGAGGGCCCUGAGAAGAGACACAGGUGGCAGUCAGUCUGACUAUCCUCUCGCCCUGUCCUCAUUUCCCACAGCUGGAUCCUCCUGCCCUGCCCUGGGAUUGACCACACCUCUGGCUUGGAGGUUAUGUCUGAUCUUUAUCACAGGAAGGGAAACUCGCUCCAUCCCCAAGGAAAGAGAACCAAGGAUGCCAGAAAGGAAAGCUUCCCCCAGAAGAUGGGACAAUUUCCCUUACAAAGUCUGGCAGUCAUCUACCCCGAAGCAGGGACCUAGACAAGUGUGUCUUCCUGGGGUUCCUCUCAGAGAGGAGAGUCAAGGCUGGAAGGGCUUAUUUCUUUAAGAACCAUUUGAAUGUGCCAUGCCUGUUUAGGACACUCUUUAACAAAGGGGUGAUAAGAGUUUAAUGGGCUGAUUUAUCUGGAACCUAUUCUGAAAAGGAAAUACCCAGAUCAGUGAAUGGUGCCCUGUGACAGUGGAGUGAGAUUUUCCAAACACUGGGCCUGUUUGUUUCCUAAAGUGCUAUCACCUCAUACUGUAUGUUGUGCAAAUCCAUAAACAGCAUCCUAGUGUAUUUUUCUUCUUGUUUUGUUGCUGGAGAGCAGGUAUCUUAUGUGGAAAAUUAUUUACUGAGGAAAAAAUGUCAAUUUCUACAAACAUGUCUAUUGUCUUUCUAUUUAUAUUAUAAGACAUACUUGAAAGGGAAAAAAGGUACCUGACUUCACAAGGACUUCUUGUUGCCACUAUCCAGAGAGGCAGCACCGGGAGACAGGGCAAGCACGGACCUGGCUGUCAGCAAACCUGGGUUCCAGGCCAAGCCCCACCAGGAGGAGCUGGGAAGCCCUGGCUGACUGCCAGCCCCAGGUGUUUAUCCACAGCCUGUAGUUUCCUUAUUCUGCGUGGUGCUAAGUUUCUAUGAUGACCCACUUCUCUGAACUUUGAGCAUGGAUCGUGAGUGCCUUUACCACCAACCACUCUGGGCUGCCUUAGGAAAGGGAGAUGGGGUGGACGAGGAACGAAAGGUAAAGGGAACUCCUCCAUUCUCAGCCCAUGUGGUUUGAGAGGGCUGACUCACCUCCAGCUCCACGGUGGGCAUGAAGCCCAGGCAUAUGCCCACAAGCAGCUGUCCACAAUGACAAGUUCGAGGAUGGGCACGAGGUCCAAUACUGCCAACGAGAGUUAGGCCUGGGGCAUUACAUGCAUCUGUUGGAAUGAAAAAAGCAUGUUCUACUUCUGGAGUCACUCUGGAAGUGGAGCCUAGAGCCACUGACGGCCGUUUUAUCACAUGGAGAAGAAACCUGCUUAAGAAUGGAGCCAAAGGAAAGCAGGGCCAAGAGAUGGCUCCAGACUGGACUCUGGUCACAUCAUCUGAGUCCCUGAGACCAGUAUUAACCCUUGACCUUUCAAGUAUGUAAGUCAAUAAAGGUCUGUGUUGCUUU